rnacentral:tRNA from 1 species
GGAAAGGUGGCAGAGUUGGUCGAUUGCAUCUGAUUUGAAAUCAGAAGAAUGAUGAAUUCCAGGGGUUCGAAUCCCCUCCUUUCCUA